rnacentral:snRNA from 1 species
UUUUUCACUAGUACAAUA